rnacentral:tRNA from 1 species
GGUGAGGUGGGUGAGUGGCUAAAACCAGUAGUUUGCUAAACUGCCGUACGGGUCAAACUGUACCGAGGGUUCGAAUCCCUCCCUCACCG